rnacentral:rRNA from 1 species
AUACCCUGGUAGUCCACGCCCUAAACGAUGUACACUAGUUGUUGGGAUGCUAGUCAUCUCAGUAAUGCAGCUAACGCAUUAAGUGUACCGCCUGGGGAGUACGGUCGCAAGAUUAAAACUCAAAGGAAUAGACGGGGACCCGCACAAGCGGUGGAGCAUGUGGUUUAAUUCGAAGAUACGCGAAGAACCUUACCUGGGCUUGAUAUCCUAAGAACCUUAUAGAGAUAUGAGGGUGCUAGCUUGCUAGAACUUAGAGACAGGUGCUGCACGGCUGUCGUCAGCUCGUGUCGUGAGAUGUUGGGUUAAGUCCCGCAACGAGCGCAACCCACGUAUUUAGUUGCUAACGGUUCGGCCGAGCACUCUAAAUAGACUGCCUUCGUAAGGAGGAGGAAGGUGUGGACGACGUCAAGUCAUCAUGGCCCUUAUGCCCAGGGCGACACACGUGCUACAAUGGCAUAUACAAUGAGACGCAAUACCGCGAGGUGGAGCAAAUCUAUAAAAUAUGUCCCAGUUCGGAUUGUUCUCUGCAACUCGAGAGCAUGAAGCCGGAAUCGCUAGUAAUCGUAGAUCAGCCAUGCUACGGUGAAUACGUUCCCGGGUCUUGUACUCACCGCCCGUCACACCAUGGGAGUUGAUUUCACUCGAAGCCGGAAUACUAAACUAGUUACCGUCCACAGUGGAAUCAGCGACUGGGGUGAAGUCGUAACAAGGUAACCGUAGGAGAACCUGCGGUUGGAUCACCUCCUUUCUA